rnacentral:rRNA from 1 species
AUUGACUUUUAAUUGGAGUCUAGUAUGAAUGGAUUUACGUAAAAGUUCUGUCUCAAUUAAAAUUUUCUAAAAUUUUUUAGAAGGUGAAAAAACUUUCAGUAUUUAAAAGACGAGAAGACCCUAAGAAUUUUAAAAAAAUUAGUCUAUCUUUUUUGCUGGGGCGGCAGUGGAUCAAGGAACAUCCAUAUUAUCGAGUUUUCGUGUUUUAAAUUACCUUAGGGAUAACAGCACAAUUGUGACCUCGAUGUUGGACUACGAA